GGAAACAGUUGAGUUUCGUCUGCGCUUAAAGCAGUUUCAAGGCCAGAAGUUCUUUUUUUUUUCUCCCGGGAAGGCCAUAUAAUUUCCGCAAACCGAGCUUCCACGGUUAAUUGUGGCUGGGAUUUCCUCUUCGUUCGACCUGUAUAAUUUUAACAGGCUAUGAUUGUUCACCUUUCCCCUGUGAGAACAGCCUACAAAUGGACCACUGGGUUUUCAAGAUUGCGCCCUGAAGGAUGGCCACCACAUUUAACUGCAACUCUGAUGGCAGUUACCGGCAUUGGACUUUCCAUGUUUAGUGUUGCACAGUUGUCCACUCUUCCAGUAUCGCCACACAAAAAAUAUUUCCCAAGAGGACCAUGGAAUUGAAAAUAGACCACAAUUAGACCUGUUAUUAAAUUCUGACAAUGAACAAUGACCUUUCUUGGUGCCAUGAUUUUAUCAUUAAGUAUCAUACAAUUGCUGGCUUAUUUAUCAAUCCUGCACAAUGUUUAUAAUCAACAAAUACAACUUUAGUCUCCAUUUCAA